CUCGCCUGCAUGAAGCUGGAAUUGCUAGUAAUCGCGGAUCAGCAAGCCGCGGUGAAUACGUUCCCGGGCCUUGUACACACCGCCCGUCACACCAUGAGAGUUGGGAAUACCCGAAGCCUGUGAGCUAACUUUUAGAGGCAGCAGUCGAAGGUAGAAUCAAUGAUUGGGGUGAAGUCGUAACAAGGUACC
rnacentral:rRNA from 1 species